rnacentral:rRNA from 1 species
GACGAACGCUGGCGGCGUGCUUAACACAUGCAAGUCGAACGGAAAGGCCCUUUUGGGGGUACUCGCGUGGCGGACGGGCGGGUAACACGUACGUAAGCUGCCCUUGACUUCGGGAUAACUUCCGGCAACUGGGGCUAAUACCUGCUAGAAAUCAUUGCUGCAUGGUGGGGGUUGGAAAGCUUGGGGGGUUUUGGGUGGACUCGCGGCUUAUCAGCUUGUUUGUGGGGUAGUGGCUUACCAAGGAAUUGACGGGUAGCCGGCCUGAGAGGGGGACCGGCCACAUUUGGACUGGGAUACGGCCCAGACUCCUACGGGAGGCAGCAGUGGGGAAUAUUGCACAAUGGGCGGAAGCCUGAUGCAGCAACGCCGCGUGCGGGAUGACGGCCUUCGGGGUGUAAACCGCGUUCAGCAGGGGCGAAGCUUGUGGUGACGGUACCUGCAGAAGAAGCACCGGCUAACUACGUG